UUCAACGGAGAGUUUGAUCCUGGCUCAGGACGAACGCUGGCGGCGUGCUUAACACAUGCAAGUCGAACGAUGAAGCCCAGCUUGCUGGGUGGAUUAGUGGCGAACGGGUGAGUAACACGUGGGUGAUCUGCCCUGCACUUCG
rnacentral:rRNA from 1 species